rnacentral:rRNA from 1 species
GAUGAACGCUGGCGGCGUGCCUAAUACAUGCAAGUCGAGCGAACGGACGAGAAGCUUGCUUCUCUGAUGUUAGCGGCGGACGGGUGAGUAACACGUGGAUAACCUACCUAUAAGACUGGGAUAACUUCGGGAAACCGUAGCUAAUACCGGAUAAUAUUUUGAACCGCAUGGUUCAAAAGUGAAAGACGGUCUUGCUGUCACUUAUAGAUGGAUCCGCGCUGCAUUAGCUAGUUGGUAAGGUAACGGCUUACCAAGGCAACGAUGCAUAGCCGACCUGAGAGGGUGAUCGGCCACACUGGAACGGAGACACGGUCCAGACUCCUACGAGAGGCAGCAGUAGGGAAUCUUCCGCAAUGGGCGAAAGCCUGACGGAGCAACGCCGCGUGAGUGAUGACGGUCUUCGGAUCGUAAAACUCUGUUAUUAGGGAAGAACAUAUGUGUAAGUAACUGUGCACAUCUUGACGGUACCUAAUCAGAAAGCCACGGCUAACUACGUG